rnacentral:lncRNA from 1 species
AUCAAACUAAAGAAAGCUCUAAGCGUAUCCUGUUCCAAAAUUUCCAAAAAUAUAUUAAUUCAAGAGGCAAUUGUUAAGGAUGAAUUGGCUCAAUUAUUCGGGGAAAAUUUUUCACUGAGUAACUUUGACAAAAUUGAUAUUGUUCCUGCUCUAGAAAAGAAGUCUGAGAUUCACAAGAUGCAAGAAAAUGAGUAUAUGCGACGAAUUGAUACCCUUAAGGAGACGAUACAUAACCUGGGAUAAUUAGGUUCUCAACGGCUACCUAUAUCUUCUCGGACUAACUUUAUAUGUAUCAAAUAUGUUAUUAAUAACUUCUUAACUAGUGUCGGGCUUGGAUCCGUUCACCCCCCCCCAAUAUAAUUUCAAAUGUGGGCGGGAAAAAUUAUAUAACGUAACAUUAUCAGGUUCA